AGAACGAACGCUGGCGGCAUGCCUAACACAUGCAAGUCGAACGAGACCUUCGGGUCUAGUGGCGCACGGGUGCGUAACGCGUGGGAACCUGCCUUUAGGUUCGGAAUAACUCUCCGAAAGGGGUGCUAAUACCGAAUAAUGUCUUCGGACCAAAGAUUUAUCGCCUUUAGAUGGGCCCGCGUUGGAUUAGCUAGUUGGUGGGGUAAAGGCCUACCAAGGCGACGAUCCAUAGCUGGUCUUAGAGGAUGAUCAGCCACACUGGGACUGAGACACGGCCCAGACUCCUACGGGAGGCAGCAGUGGGGAAUAUUGGACAAUGGGCGAAAGCCUGAUCCAGCAAUGCCGCGUGAGUGAUGAAGGCCUUAGGGUUGUAAAGCUCUUUUACCCGGAUGAUAAUGACAGUACCGGAGAAUAAGCUCCGGCUAACUCCGUGCCAGCAGCCGC
rnacentral:rRNA from 1 species